rnacentral:rRNA from 1 species
UACAGAGGUGGCAAGCGUUGUUCGGAUUUACUGGGCGUAAAGGGUGCGUAGGUGGUCCCGUGUGUCGGACGUGAAAUCCCACGGCUUAACUGUGGAACUGCAUUCGAAACUGCGGGGCUAGAGUGCGGAAGAGGAGAGCGGAAUUCUUGGUGUAGCGGUGAAAUGCGUUGAUAUCAAGAGGAACACCGGUGGCGAAGGCGGCUCUCUGGGACGCAACUGACACUGAGGCACGAAAGCUGGGGGAGCAAAC